UUCUCCCCAAACUUUGCUUCCCCCGUCGGCGACGAACCCUAGCUAGCUACUCUCUCUCUCAAAAAAAAAAAAAAAACUCGAAUCAGUCCGGGUGCGAGAGGCCACCGGCGGCAUGGCUGCGUGCGGCGGCGGAGGAGAGCGCUCUAAAGUCGGAUCGGAUCGACCUGACCGAAUCCCGCCGCCGCGCCCGUCUAGCUCGCCGUGGCCGAUGACCGCGUCGGCCGGGGCCGCGUCCCUGCCCAAACGGCGGCGAUGAUGGAGGGAGCCGCCGGCGCCGGCCAGGAUCCCGACCGGCGGACGCGCCGGGUCGCCGCUCCUCGGGGCCAGCCCCUCCCGCCGCGCCGGAUCGCGCAUCGGCUUGGAGGCCCCUCGGGGCUGCCGCCGGUGCGGGAGGCGUCCGCGUCCGCGCGGGAUGGGGAGCGGGGACCGAGCGACGGGGCUCGUGAUGCGUUCCGGUCGAGGGAUUGGUCGGCCCGGCGCGGGAUCUGAGCCGCCGCCGAUGGAUUUCUCGCAGCUUGGCUGCCUGUUGCUUUGGAUCCUGUACGAUCCCCAUCUCUCUCCGAGACUGACCCCACACUCACUCGCUCACUCUGUGUGCGCGCGCGUGCGCGCAGUUCACACCCGUGACCCCAAACCCUAAGCCGAAUCAGGCGAGCUCUCGUUGCCGGAUCGCUGGCCAAUCGUCCCGUUGGCCGCCACGUCAGUUCCGCACCGCGGUGGUGCUGCCAGCCACCGCCGUUCCAUUGCCUUGGAUUCGGGUGUGGCGUGGGCUGGGAACCGUACGGUGUUUGUCUGACGCGUCAUCCGCGCCGGGAGGUUUGGUCGGUCGACUCCAGAGGCAAUCUCCUUUUUGGACCAAAAAGAGGGGCGAUGACGAGGACGACGAUGAUGAUGACUCUGGCUGAAAUAAUCAUGUCUUGAGCAAUCAAGACAGCCUUAGCUUGUGGGACUAAACAGAGCUGAGAAAGUCGGUGUCAGCGUUGGAGUUCCCCUUAGAGCCCACCCUUGCCUCUGUUGCAGCCUGCUCAAUUUGUCGCCGAUGUUGGAUGAUCUGUGCCUUGGACGGUCGUUCUGAUGAGUGAUAACCAGCUUACACUGCGAUGGGUAGGUUAUGAGCAAGAGAUGUGGGUGUUGGGUUUGAAGAUGAAUGACAAAGCUGAGCCCUCUUUUGCUACGCUACAUACACUGAAUUUUCACUGUUCAGUUGCAUUUUGUUUUGGAUUCGGUAUGGAUCCUCCUCUCUCUCUCUCUCUCUCUCUCUCUCUCUCUCUAUGUCUAUAUAUGUAUAUUAGUAUAUAUAUCCUACAACAAAUCAGUCAAGCUGUCAUUGCCUACUCGCUGACCCAUGGUCUGGGUGGACUGACACUAUGGUGCCGCCAGCCACCACCGUUCCAUUGCCUUGGAUUCGGUUGUGGCGUGGGCUGGGAACCAUACAGUGUUGUCUGAUGCAGCGUCCGAGCCCGAGGUUUGGUUGGUUGAUGCCAGGCAUGAGCAGCUCCUGAGAGCAUGGUUAAUAAUAGAGCCAACUUCUGGAAUGCAUGUAUGUAUGGAUACUAUGGUCAUGAUGCCGUUGAAGUCACUGUUUUGACCUUUUUGGAAAGGUUCAACACAAAAUGAACCAUGUCGGAAACUUUAGCACAAUCUAACCCCUUCUAUCCAUCCAUCCAUCGAUCCAUCUAUCUAUCUAUCUAUUUGGGGCGAUGAUGAUAAAACAUGUCUGACAUAAACUUGUCUUCGAUUAUUCGAGGAGCUGUGGGCUUCAAAAACCUACUCUCCCCUCUUUUGGCACCUUAUCAUUCUCACCGAAUAUUGACCGGCUCUCUCUUGGAUGGUCAUUCUGCUGAGUGAUAACCAGAGGAGCUCGACCUCUGUGGUGGGGGUUGAUCUGGUGAAAGAAGAUGGAGCUAGGUUGUAUGAUAUAUCAAAGGCGAAUCUGAGCCCUCUCAAAUCUCAAUGCAACUAAUACUGUGCCCUCUACACAUCUAUUAUCCCUAUUGCCUUUUUAUGUUUUAAAUUGAUGAAUUGUCGUGGUUGUGGCAUUGGGCCAUCUCAUUAGGAGCAACUACGCACAAAUCACCUCUCGUGGUGUUCGGUUUGCCUUCCCAUGAUUUUGUUGUCCAUUGAGGGAACCAGCUUGGUGCAUCCGGGCUUUUUAUUUUCUGUUAUUAUUUUUCCUUGAAUGGCUGUGAUAAUAAUGCUGCCCUUGGGUAUUUUUUGAAAUUAUCUUAUUUGGUACUGUAUCAGUUUGGUUGUUUCAAUUGCCAUUUGACUUUCGAUAAUUUCAUUUUGCUAGUAUUCUCUUUAUCUAGUUUGGUGCAUCUUUGUUGUCCAUUGAGGGAACCAGUUUGGUGCAUCCGGGCUUUUUAUUUUCUGUUAUUAUUUUUCCUUGAAUGGCUGUGAUAAUAAUGCUGCCUUGGGUAUUUUUUGAAAUUAUCUUAUUUGGUACUGUAUCAGUUUGGUUGUUUCAAUUGCCAUUUGACUUUCGAUAAUUUCAUUUUGCUACUGUUCUCUUUAUCUAGUUAUCAGUUUGUACUUUUGGGCACUCCUCAUUUAUUUACUGGUUUUCAUCUUAAGGGUCAUAUAGGGCAAGUUCAGAUGUCAAGAUUAUUGUUUCCUUCAUGUCAUGUUCAUGAAUGGCUGUGAUGAUAUUGCUUCCCUGUUAGUGCUUCUAUCUAACACCUGAAUUGAUUCAGUUGGUUCUAAACUAGGAGUCCUUGUGUCACAACAAGUAACCGGUUUAGCGGCUAACAAUUACCAUUAAACAUUGGAAUUAAAAAUCCACUUAACAGUGUGGAGAGAGAUUACAUGGAAUUAAGGACUACUUUGUUUGAAUAAAUAAAAAAAUUGUGUUGUGAAGGGCCUAGAAAGAGGAAGAGGAUUUCACAUCUUUUCAUCAAACUAUGCUAUUAUUUGCAACUGUAUGUCCUUUGUUAUGCAUGUUCUGUUUCUUGUCUCAGCAUUCCCAUUUAGUCGUAACCGCAUUUUAUUUUGUGGAAGGUCUUACAUUCACGUAUUUGCUGCACUGCGGCACCACAAGCAUCAGCAAUUGUAAUAAUUACAUUUGAUCUAUUAAUUUAUUAAUUAUAUUUUUUAAUUCCGAAUCUACAAUUCUAUUUCUCGUUUACAUUAUGUUCAAUGUAAUCUGCAGCACUAACCCUGUUGAUGGCUUUCUUCUGGUUCAAAAAAGAAAGUUCAUGUUCUCCUAUUUUUAUUUUGGCUUGGAGUGACUCGUUUUAUCUGAAGUGAACAAAUGGCAAUUGCUUCUUUCAUUGCCAGUAAUACGGCCAUCAGUGCACUAUUCCAUAUUAACUUUUGAACACAGCAUAUUUGUUUAUGUUGUGUGUUGUUGAUAAUUAUUCUUUUUCUGAAUGGCUAUGAUGAUUUCCGCCCCUUGGUGUCUUUCAACAUAUCCUGAGAUAGAGACACUUUCACGUCUCUAGGUUGGUUCCAUUCAACUUUGCCCAGUUAGACAGUUAGUCAUUAAACUAGGAGGCCUUGCUCUACAGCAAGUUACCAGUUGUGGCUAUUUGUUGCUGAGUGGAGAGAGGUUUUAUUCCUUAUGUUACUACCUGAAGCAUUGUCCAACUAAGGUGAUUCAUGGUCAGGUAAAUCUGAGCCAUUCAUUCAAGAUAAUAAUAGUAUUCUCGACUUACAUUGUAGUUAACAACAUGCCAUUUUAUUUCUAUAAAGAGUGCAAAUCAUGAACUACGUAGAUAGGCUUCAAGUAUCCACCAUGUAUGCUGUAUAUGACAAUAUAAAAGUCAAUUAAAAAAAUGUAACCUAUCAACGACGUCGACAUGUACAAUUCAAAAAAUAUAACUUAUCAACGCCAUCAACAUGUAUGGCUGGCUAAUGUGGCACGAUUGCAUUUUGCAACUUAUAAUUGACAUGCAUAGGUCCUUAGGUGGCAUGGUUGCAUGCUUAGAAAAACUAGAUCGUGGAUUGGAUGUAAAUAAAUGUAACUUAUCAUUUGUGAUUGACAUCCAUACGUGCUGAUGUGGCGUGGCUGCAUGUUAUUAAAAAUUAGCUAGUGGGUUGUAGCUAUUUAAAAGUAGAGGAUUCCUCAUGUAUUUGUUAUGGUACGUGAGUCUGACACUUCACACUUGUACUUCUGCCUGAGUAUAGUAAUUUUAGCAUUGGGUACUUCUGAAAUAUACUCCAGAAAACAGCUUGGUUUCCUGAACAGCCUUUUUAAAAGUAUAUCUUAUUGGCAAUCGUUAAUGGUCAUGAUCCCAUGGUGAAAAUUAAGUCGUUUAUACUCUACACUCUGGGCCUGUAGCUUGCAAAGUGAACCUGCCUAUCUAUGGCUCUGGUUCUUUCUGUCUGUGGACCUUCUGGCCUUCUGGGAAGGUGAGAGGAUGUGAAAUCUUUUUAUUUUGAACCAAUUUAAAGCAGUUUUUUAAUGCUACUGUUAACACCCCCACCCCCUCUUGUACCAUCCAAUUAUUACUUUUCCUUGUGUUGAUAUUGGUAUAAUAGUCCUCCUUAACUACCAUUAUCGAUGCUUGCCAUCAUUGUCCUUAUAAAACUUCCCAGCCAUCAUCCCUAGCCCUGGUGGUGGCCUUGGAGCUUCGGUUCAUGGGGCCACCCCUCCUGUUCAGGCCCACUGCACUAAUGCAUUGGCUUGGAGGCCCUCCUCGGGCAGUUGCCGCAGCUGAAACAGCAGGGGCUGGCGGUUUUGGGUUGGGCAUCGUGGAAGAUUGGGACCCUGUGUGGCCUCUCAUGCCUGGGAAGUCGGGUGUCCACGGUGAGGCCUCCUUUGGUUUACAGGAAUUUUGUAGGAACUAUAUAGGAUAGGAUUCCUAGGGGAAAACUCAUAUGGCUCCUAUUCCUAUGAUAUUCCUAUCCUAUGAACCAAAGGAGGCCUGAGAUCUGAGCUGCCGCGAUGGAUUUUUCAUGAUACAGUUCCACUUUUUGGCUUGAAUCGGUAUGCAUGCAAUUACACCCUAAUCUGCUGCCUUAAUUCUGAAUCCCUCUGCCUGAGCUCUCAUUGAAUACAUGGAGGGAAUACAUAUAGUGUAAAAAACGCUCUUAUAUUAUGGAACGGAGGGAGUGUGUAUCACAUGAUUGUCCUUUUUUCGCCAAUGUUUUUAGCUAUUGGCAGUUCUGUUCAUGUGGUUAACGAGAAGCUGUUGUUUUGCUUGUCUUGUCCUGCCAGAUGCUUUUUCAAAGACAAAGUUAUGAUCAGCAAUAUCUGUGUUUUCUUAGAACUGAAGCUCAUACUGCGUUAGUUUUAUUUUGGUCAGAGCAGCAUUUAUUUUGCUGGUCAUUAGUCUCUUUUUAAGCUGCUGCUGCCAACUUGCCACAUUUUGAUUCAUUACCGAGGAACUGAUUCCUCGCAGGUUGUUUAAAAUGAGUGUCCAGUCAACUGCAUUCGUUUGUUUAAAAAGGUCUUAUAUUUUGUCUAAUCAUGAUUGAAGGUGCUCUUGGAGCUUUUGCUUGGGUCACCUGGGAUCUGUAUGCCAUUGUCCCUGCAUUCGUUAUGUUAGCCAUUGUCCCCCUUCUCUAUAUGCCAGAACAAUGAGUAGGUUUCAAUAUCUUAUGGGUUUCAGCUCUAGCCUAUCCCAAGUUGUUUGGGACUGAAAGGCUUUGUUGUGUUGUACUAUCUGAAGCAUUUUCCAACUUCGGUGAUUCAUGGUGGGGUAAAUCUGAGCCAUUCAAGCAAUACACCAAAAUUUUCCUUGAUUUUGUGAACUAUUCCUUGUGCGCCAUGUGUUUGUUAUGAUACCUGUGUUUUAUACUUCUUUUGUCUGAUUAUUAUAGUAAUUGGAUCAGUGAGUAUUCCAAAAAACAGCUUGAUUUUCAUUUUCCUGAACAGCUUUUGUGUGUUUUUCUCAUGUCAAAAAUUAAGUCGUAUGUACUCUUCUGUACAUUGUGGGCCUGUAGCUUGAAAAGUGAACCUGGCGUUACCUAUGGCUCUGGUUCUUUUUGUGGACCUUCUCAGAAGGUAAGAUGGCGUGAAAUCUUUUCAUUGAACCAAUUUAAAAGCAGUUCUUAUUGUUGCUAUUGUUAAUCUUUUUGUUCCUAUUUUCGUAUCCAUUAUCAAUUUUUCUUGUAUUGACAUUUGAUAUUGUUGUCCUUGUUAACUUUAACCAUCGACGCUUGCCACUCCAAGCCCCAACAAUUAGGAAGGGUGCUGGCGUUUUGUGGUGGGAACCGUUACCCUGUGCAUCCAUCUAUCUGGCUGGCUGGCUAGCUUGUGCGAUGGUGAUCAACUGACAUAAACCUGUCUCCGAUUAUUCAAGGAGCCGAGGUGUUCUUCCUUUGCCCGGCGGCGCAACCUGGCGUCGGCGCGCGGGAGCUGCUAGGGAGGGGAAGGGGAGCCAAAGGGAAACUGUUAGAUCGAGCGAGCCAUUCCAAGUGGCAAGCGAGCAGCUAUUAUGGGAACUAGGCACCGCCUUUAGGUUCAGUCAGGACUUACAAACACAAAUCCCAACCCGGAAUUAUUAUUAGAGAAGUGUCACUCACAGCACUGAACAUCACAAACAUUUCAAACAUCACGUAUACGAUUUACAAUUCGGCGUUUAGACUCUGCUUCUCUUUCUUUCAUUUUCUUGGCAGGUCUAUGUAAUGCUUGAUGUACUCUGUCAAUGAGCUGAAUGAAAUUGGCACCUGUUGGUGCCUUCUCUUGUUAAAAAAAAAGUACUUAUCCACGAUGUCCAAACCACACAUUUCCUUCACGAGCGUCAUCGGUGCAGGGACGUUGAGCUGGAACGUGAGCUGCAAGCUUCCAAACUCCUUCCUUGCUGCUCGGAUGGCUUCUCUCACCGCGCAAUGGACUGAUGAUGCGAGGACCAAGGCAGGUUCCCCACAAGCUGACAGAGGCAAAAGCGGUUUGUUUACCUUAACUGAUGAUAUUUUUCAUUUGGCAAACAAGCGAAAUAUAUUCAUGUUGCCUUAGGGAAGGAGAUCAUGAUCCUACCUUUCGACGAGAGCACACGGUUCUUGUGGAAUCCGGUGUUGAGCACCUCGGCAUUGAACUGCUUCGGGAUGGUGUCGACACUCGGGAUCUUGUAGACCCAUGUGCUGUCACUCACAACCAGUCCAUCAACGUUUGUUUCGUGUUCUUCGUUUAUGAAGAAACCAAUUCCUUGUAUAAAGGAGCCUUCAAUCUGUAAGAUGAUGGUAGAGAUCAGAUAUGAAUAUAUGAUG